GUGCUCGCUUCAGCAGCACAUAUACUAAAAUUGGAGUGAUGCAGAGAAGAUCAGCACGGCCCCUGUGCAAGGGUGACAUGUAAAUUCAUGAAGCUUCCACAUUUUUC